UAAAACUACAGUAAUUUCCUUCUCCAGGAAAACCACUACUUUGAUCUUUGAUUACAAACUUUUUCAGUCCUCCAUAACACGUACCGACACUAUUAAAGACCUGGGAAUAUUUUUCGACUCCAAGCUCCGAUUUCACAACCAUGUUGACCACAUAUUUUCACAUUGUAUUAAGUUGCUGGGUCUUGUUCGCACAUUAACCUUUUCGUUCUCUUCUCUCGAUUGCCUGUAUAUGUUAUAUGUAACCUUAGUUAGAUCCAAGCUCGAGUACGCCUCGAUCGUUUGGAAUUCUAUUACGACUACUGAUGCCAACAAACUGGAACGUAUCCAGCAGAAGUUUUCAGCCCUUUGCUACUAUAGUUUCCUCCCCCAAGUGCAUUACAGCUAUGCUAUGCUGACCGUCGUGACCCCUUUUGGGGUUCUCUUGCAAAAGUACCACGGUAGUUUCGCCUUGCCUUCCGUGACCAGUCUUUACCCACCAGACUGGAAGAGGAGAGGUGGACAAACAUCUAUGCCUUGAGUGGAACUCGAACCCACGGUCGCAGUGGGCAGGCACACGAGGACCAACCCAUAUGGGUUGUUGCUGUACAAAACAGAAUUUUGCAAAAGGAACCAGCUGUUGUGUAUGGGUAUUAUGUUGUUAUUAAUUGCAUGCUACAAUGGAUAUUAAUUAGAACUGGUACGUGAUUUAAGAGUCUUUAUUAUAUUCAUAUAUGUGUUAGUGGAAAUGUGUGCCCAAUAUUGUAACUCGGCUUUUACCGAUGUUUUUCACUUUUGAUGCUGUUAUCACUUUCCGUAAAUAAGUUUGUUUUGAAGGAAACAGAGACGAUGUUGAUACUCUUGCCCCAUAAACAUCUACUGUUUUCAAACAACUGGUAAACAGCAGUCAAAGUCUGUUACUGUAAGUGAAACCAACAGAAGUUCCCAGAAAGUUACGCCCUUGCUGACAGCAUCAAGAGCAUCACAAGACAACUCUGAUCUGUGACAAGUUUAGUCCUGAUACGUUGCUCUGUUCAGUUAGAAGUCAGCCACUGCUAAAGCCAUAAGCAGCAACCCUUUGUACAUUUGCUGCUGUUAUUGCUUCUAUGAAUGUGAUGAAGCAUUCAGUGAUCAUGUUACCAGAGACAACACCUAUAAACACUAGGCCACGUAGGUUACCAGGAGCCCAGAAAGUAGAGACAGAGAAACAAGUAGACAAACUUUGAGAAGAAGGUAUAACAAGAGAUAGUAGUUCACUGUGGAAGAGUCCACUCUCGGUAGUGCCAAAGAAAGCUGACGCAAGCAGAGAAAAAUGGCAGACAGUGGUAGGUUUCAGGAAAUUAAAUCAAAAGGCAAUUGUAAAUGCCUGAUAUAACAGAAAUUUUAAUGUUGUGUACUGCACAUGGGAAAACCAUGCUAUGUGCCUUGUGUGAGUUCAACUGGUUGGUCAAUAGGAUUUUAUGGAUGACUGACUGCCGCCUGGUGGAUUAAUUGCAGCUAGAGAGUAAACUUGAACAAGAUAUUCAUUACACCCAUGUAUCUUAGAUUGGCCGAUAGAUACCUUCAUUUGUACCAAGUACAAGAGUUGCUACUUACCGAAGCCACGGGACUUUAUGCCAAUACAUUACCACAGAGUUCCUUUAUUUUGCAAUUACACUCACAUAAGCAAAUGCAGCAGCAAGGCAUAAGCCUUGAGUCCUGCUGAUUUUGUUCUUGUUUCAGCCUUCCAGCACCACUGUUUAUCAGCCCUGUUUCUGGGAUAAAGAGAUGAAGCAAUUGAAUUUCUGCAACCAUCUAGUCCUGUGGUUGCGACUGUCACUAGUCUGGUUCAGGGCACCAGCCAACUUCAGAAGAAGAAGAAGAAGGAGGAGGAAAAUACCACUUGCGAGAGAUGCUGAAGAAGUGGCUUGGGAGUACAGACUCUGAGACCAAGCACAGGGGCAAAGGCAUCAGCAGAAGUCAACUUGGACAAGACAAAAACACCAGACAUGAAGAAGGGGCAAAUGCUCUAAGCAUCAUUCCACAAGUAAAGAUGGAACAGAACCUGCCUUUUGCAGGCUAUUGCUUGCCUGCGCCCUCCACAACAACACUGUGAUGAAACAUCGCUGUGCGAAAAAAAAGGGAGACUCCUAAGACACACUAAGAUUGAAUAUUACUUUAGUGAUGAAAUCAUUACCUGAUGUGUUUGUACUUUAGAUUUGAGCAGUUACUGAAGGUAAUUGAGAUGUAGUAGACUAAUUCAGUUGUGAUUUUGUUUUGGUUCAGUUUCUUAUUUCUUAUGCCAUGUGAUCAAAAAAUCAUGCAACAGUACCCAGUGAGGUCACAUCAUGGUAUAACCUGCUCAUGGCAGUCGGUCUGUUGUCUUUCAACAGCAUAAGUGCAAGGCCGUCUUUUUAUAAGUGGAAUGAGUGUUUAUUGUUGAACACUAACUGGCAUCUCGCUUGUACUUAACUUGCCAGAAUGAUACAUUUUCCCCUUUGUGAAACAAAUUGAGAAUAUCUUCCGGUGAACAGUCUCCGUGACUGAGGAGCUCUUCACCGGCUUAAGUCAGAUACGAGGUAAAGAAUGAAUGCAUGGAUUGCUGAUCACAGUGGACUUUUCCAACACUUAAUAUAAUUGUUCUUUGUUUUCUGAUUCCAGUAUAAUUUAUUUUUUGACAAGUAUAACGUGUGUUGCUUGACUUUUUGAUCAUCCUGUGUGUGUUAAUUGUAUUUGUCAUUUGGCCAAACUGUUCAUUCAGUGUCAUUUAGAGAAAGUAUGUUUCUGUAGGAAGCUCUUCAUGACAAAGUGUGUUCACAUAAGUGAGAAUGUUGAAUAGGAAUUGUCAAGACAAACUAUAUUUUGGGCAUAAUUAGAUUUUGGGAAAUAUGUUAACAUUAACUUUAUUCAAAUCUUAAAUUGAUUUACAUUUCCCUACUAAAACCCAGAAGAAUGAUUGUGAAUGAGUGUGUACAUGGCCUCUGGCAUGGAGUAAAAUCCUGUAAGCCAUUAAGUUGUUAUACGGCCUCUGGUGUGGUGUAAAUACCCGUAAGCCAACAAGAGAUGAGUAUGACAUUGUACUUGGUGAAAAGAAAUGGAAAAACAUAAAGGACUGAGAUGUGUCAACUUACACCACGGUGUUGUUUCUUGGAUGUGUGGAGGAGUGUGUGAUGAAAACGAAAUUGGAGUAUCUUAUUUUGUAGGAAUAAGACAUUUUUUUGUGAGUUUGUAUGGUGUUCUUCCAAUAUUGUUAAGCUAUUAGGAGCUUGGGGGAAAGCACAUUCCUGUUAGUCAUGUGUUAGGCACUGUCUUUUGUACAGGAGCAAGUAAUAUAUUUUGCCCCAUGGAGUCACGUUUAUUUCAGAACAGGCUGUAAAAACCACACUAUGCAUUACAGUAGUAGUGCUUACAUGAUGUCCUGGGUUCAGCAUUCUCACACACUGACCAAACUGUUGUCACCUUUGACAGUCUUGCAUGACGUUUACUCUGAAUUCUUUGUCAGAAGACUCCAUGUUUGAUGUGAUGUGGGAACUGUAGUUGCAGCAGAAAUCCCAUCAUCACACUUUUUGCUGAGAGCACCAUUUCAGUGGCUCUUAUGCCUGGUAAAGAACUUCCUCUUGGAUGACUGGCAAAUUAAGAUGUUACUCAUUUUGUUUGAUUGGCUAGUCCUCCGAAGAGGAGCAUUUAUUUAAAACUGUAAAGUACAAGAUAGAUCCAUUUUUAUGAAUUUUAGGAACAUUUUAAUUUGGUCCUACACUUGGGAUAUCAAUUGAUAGUACAAAACAGGCAUAAGCAGUGCACUUGGGAGAUGAGUAACUGAUUGUUUGCGAAAAGAGGCUGAAGGAAAUGUCGAUCA